GCGAGGGACCGGCAGCAGGGGUGGGCCCUGGAGAGCCUGGCUCCCGGCCUUCCUGCCCAGAGCCUACCCGGGCUGGCUCCUCACGGAGCCCGGGGCUCACCUCGGGGGCUGUGGGCUGGGGACCCAAUCUUGCAGCAGGACCUAUGCUUCGAAACGGGUAGCUGCUGCCAGCUGAGCCAACGCUCCUCACGAAAGGGAGGUCACUGCUCAAGGGAGCUCUGCCUGGCCUCAGAACUUCAGCUCCAGGAAUUCCCGUAACGUGACAACUGGAGGACUCCUUACAGACAAAAAAAAAUGCUCCACCUACACCCACCGACUUCUGGGAAACAACGUAGGCCUGCUGUUAUGCCACAGCUCCAUAAGGCAUGUAGGUGGCUUGUGAAGAUGCUUCAAGAAACCAAAUGGCAUAAUUUCAAAUUAGAUCAAAAGUCUCAAUAAAUGCUUGCUGCACUCAAUGUUAAAGAUA